UACGGAGGAUCCGAGCGUUAUCCGGAUUUAUUGGGUUUAAAGGGUGCGCAGGCGGGUAUAUAAGUCAGAGGUGAAAUUCCAGGGCUCAACCCUGGGACUGCCUUUGAUACUGUAUGUCUAGAGUAUAUUUGGAGUGGGCGGAAUGUAGCAUGUAGCGGUGAAAUGCUUAGAUAUGCUACAGAACACCGAUCGUGAAGACAGCUCACUAAACUAUAACUGACGCUCAGGCACGAAAGCGUGGGGAGCAAACAGG
rnacentral:rRNA from 1 species